rnacentral:tRNA from 1 species
GCGCGGGUGGCGGAAUGGCAGACGCGCAAGCAUGAGGGGCUUGUGCCGCAAGGCGUAGGAGUUCAACUCUCCUCCCGCGCA